rnacentral:rRNA from 1 species
UACGGAGGAUCCAAGCGUUAUCCGGAUUCACUGGGUUUAAAGGGUGCGUAGGUGGAAUGACAAGUCAGUGGUGAAAACCUGCAGCUUAACUGUAGAACUGCCAUUGAUACUGUUAUUCUUGAGUACAUUUGAUGUGAGUGGAAUGUGUCGUGUAGCGGUGAAAUGCUUAGAUAUGACACAGAACACCAAUUGCGAAGGCAGCUCACAAACUGUAACUGACACUGAGGCACGAAAGCGUGGGGAUCAAACAGG